GUUUAAACUUACACGAAUCGCUCUCUUGAGGAGGAGGGAACCGCCGCGCGAUUGACACGCAUAUUCCUAUAGGCAUCCUCCCUCAGCCCCCACCCCCACGGCCGGAUUCGGGUGGCUCCUCUCCGAGCUGAAAUCCGAGAAGAAAUCUCCUUGGAUCUCUUGUUAAAAAAAAAAAAAAAAAAAAAAUCCAGAAACCGUCGGUAUUUUGCUUUCCUGCUUCCUUUUCGCAUGAUGAAGAAGUUUUUCGACUCCAGGCGAGAGCAGGGUGGCUCUGGCCUGGGCUCCGGCUCCAGCGGAGGAGGGGGCAGCACCUCGGGCCUGGGCAGCGGCUACAUCGGACGGGUCUUUGGCAUUGGGCGACAGCAGGUCACUGUGGACGAGGUGCUGGCGGAAGGUGGAUUUGCCAUCGUGUUUCUGGUGAGGACAAGCAAUGGAAUGAAAUGUGCCUUGAAACGCAUGUUUGUCAACAACGAGCAUGAUCUCCAGGUGUGCAAGAGAGAAAUCCAGAUAAUGAGGGACCUGUCGGGGCAUAAGAACAUCGUGGGUUACAUUGACUCCAGUAUCAACAGUGUGAGUAGCGGUGAUGUGUGGGAAGUUCUCAUCCUGAUGGACUUCUGCAGGGGAGGCCAAGUGGUCAACCUGAUGAACCAGCGCCUGCAAACAGGUUUUACAGAAAAUGAAGUACUCCAGAUAUUUUGUGACACCUGUGAAGCUGUCGCCCGCCUGCAUCAGUGCAAAACUCCUAUUAUCCACCGUGACUUGAAGGUUGAGAAUAUUCUCUUGCAUGACCGAGGCCACUAUGUCCUGUGUGACUUUGGAAGUGCUACCAACAAAUUCCAGAACCCACAAACGGAAGGAGUCAAUGCAGUAGAAGAUGAGAUUAAGAAGUACACAACGCUGUCCUAUCGCGCACCAGAGAUGGUCAACCUGUAUAGUGGCAAGGUCAUCACGACGAAGGCAGACAUUUGGGCUCUCGGAUGUUUGUUGUAUAAAUUAUGUUACUUCACUUUGCCAUUUGGGGAGAGUCAAGUGGCAAUUUGUGAUGGAAACUUCACAAUUCCUGAUAACUCUCGAUAUUCCCAAGACAUGCACUGCCUAAUUAGGUAUAUGUUGGAACCAGACCCUGACAAAAGGCCGGAUAUUUACCAGGUUUCCUACUUCUCAUUUAAACUACUCAAGAAAGAAUGCCCAAUUCCAAAUGUACAGAACUCUCCCAUUCCUACAAAGCUCCCUGAACCAGUGAAAGCCAGUGAGGCAGCUGCAAAGAAGACCCAGCCAAAGGCCAGACUGACAGAUCCCAUUCCCACUACAGAGACGUCAAUUGCACCCCGCCAGAGGCCUAAAGCUGGGCAGACUCAGCCCAACCCAGGAAUCCUCCCCAUCCAACCAGCCCUGACCCCUCGGAAGAGGGCCACAGUUCAGCCCCCACCUCAAGCCGCAGGAUCCAGCAAUCAGCCUGGUCUUUUAGCCAGUGUUCCUCAACCAAAAACGCAGCCCCCACCCAGUCAACCGCUACCACAGUCUCAGCCCAAGCAGCCUCAGGCUCCUCCCACCUCACAGCAGCCGCCUUCCACACCAGCCCAGGCUCUGCCCACCCAGGCCCAGGCCACACCCCAGCACCAGCAGCAACUCUUCCUCAAGCAGCAGCAGCAGCAGCAGCAGCAGCAGCAGCAGACAGCGCCAUCUGCACAGCAGCCAGUGGGCACGUUCUACCAGCAGCCGCAGCAGCAGGCCCAGGCUCCGCAGUUUCAGGCAGUACACCCAGCAGCCCAGCAACCAGUGAUCGCUCAGUUCCCUGUGGUAUCUCAAGGAAGCUCUCAACAGCAGCUGAUACAAAACUUCUACCAGCAGCAGCAGCAGCAACAGCAGCUGGCCACAGCCCUGCAUCAACAACAGCUGCUGACUCAGCAGGCUGCCUUGCAGCAGAAGACGACAGUGGCGGCUGUACCGCAGCCCCAAGCACAGCCGGCCACAGCAGCCUCGCCAGCCCCUGCCCAGGAGCCAGCGAUUCAGGCCCCAGUAAGACAACAGCCGAAGGUUCAGACAACCCCACCUCCUACCAUCCAGGGGCAGAAACUUGGAUCUCUCACUCCUCCAUCAUCCCCCAAGGCCCAGCGUGCUGGGCACAGGCGAAUUCUCAGCGAUGUGACCCACAGCGCAGUCUUUGGGGUCCCUGCCAGCAAAUCAACCCAGCUGCUCCAAGCAGCUGCAGCUGAGGCCAGUCUCAAUAAGUCCAAGUCUGCAACCACCACUCCUUCAGGCUCCCCUCGGGCCUCCCAGCAAAAUGUUUAUAAUCCUUCAGAAGGUUCUACGUGGAAUCCCUUUGAUGACGACAAUUUCUCCAAACUCACAGCUGAAGAACUGCUAAACAAGGACUUUGCCAAGCUGGGGGAAGGCAAAUAUCCUGAGAAGCUUGGAGGCUCUGCUGAGAGUUUGAUCCCAGGCUUUCAACCAACCCAAGGUGAUGCUUUUGCUGCUCCCUCAUUUUCCGCUGGAACUGAAAAAGCUGACGUUGCUGUUGAGAGUCUGAUACCAGGACUGGAGCCCCCGGUGCCUCAGCGCCUCCCAUCUCAGACGGAAUCUGUGACCUCGAACCGUACAGGUCUCCAGAGAGAGCCCAUUCCCUCUCCUGUAAUAACUGUAGAGCACUUUAAAGAAUCGACGGGUGUUAAAGGCCUUCCCCUGUACCCGGACCCCUCCCGGGUACCUGGCACGAAAACUCAGAACAGUCUAGAAUCUGACUACUUGGCCCGAGAUGGCCCUUCCAGCAACAGUUCGUUCCACAGCAGUGAAGAGGAGGGGACCGACCUCGAGGGGGACAUGCUGGACUGCAGUGGCUCUCGCCCUCUGCUCUUGGAGUCGGAGGAAGAGGAUGAGAGCUGCAAGCCUCCGCAGGGGAAGCUAGGAGGAGCCACUCCCUUCACUCAGCCGGAGGUCACUUCCGCGCAGGCCAAGGCCUCGCAAGGUGGGAGGAAGAACCAAUUCGGAGCCCUCACCCAGCCGACCGCUGAUGGACUCGGUGAGCCAGAUGUGUUUGCCACUGCUCCCUUCCGGAGUUCAAGGAUUCCCGCUGAUGACAUUUUUGCCAAAGCCCCCUUUGUCUCCAAGGGCAACGUGGCCCUUUCCCAGCCAGAGGAGACGGAUGUGUUCUUGAGAGCUCCCUUUACCAAGAAGAAAGGCAUGGAGGAGUCAGCAGUUGCCCAGAGCCCCGCCCAGGAGCAGCCCGGUCUCCUCAGUCAGACCGAUGACAUCCCUCUGCUCCCAGGCCUGGAUCGAGCCGUGUACCCGUCCGCCCGAGCUCAGUAUUCCACUGCUGGCUUUGCCCAGCCGUCUAACCUCCCCUCCCAUCCUGUACAAGCAGCAGACCAUCUUGACAGCAUCUCUUCCAGGGGCUCUUCCCUGGAAUCUGGGGCCCAUCCUAAUGACAGAAACAAAGGACCUCAGCCCCAGAAAGAAGCUGUCUCAGGCCCCGUGGCAGGCAAACCAUUCCGCCCCCAGUCUUUAUCCAAAUAUUCCCGUCACUAUAGCCCGGAAGAUGAGCCGAAUCCAGAAGCCCAGCCCAUUGCUGCCUACAAAAUUGUUUCGCAAACCAAUAAGCAGUCGAUAGCUGGCUCCGUUUCCAUCACAUCCCUUGCCUCCAGGACUACGGAGCUGCCAGCUGCUGAUCCUUUUGCUUUAGCACCCUUUCCUUCAAAGUCAGGCAAACAGAAACCUUAG
rnacentral:lncRNA from 1 species